GCAGUCGACGGUAACAGGUCUUCGGAUGCUGACGAGUGGCGAACGGGUGAGUAACACAUCGGAACGUGCCUAGUAGUGGGGGAUAACUACUCGAAAGAGUAGCUAAUACCGCAUGAGAUCUAAGGAUGAAAGCAGGGGACCUUCGGGCCUUGCGCUACUAGAGCGGCUGAUGGCAGAUUAGGUAGUUGGUGGGAUAAAAGCUUACCAAGCCGACGAUCUGUAGCUGGUCUGAGAGGACGACCAGCCACACUGGGACUGAGACACGGCCCAGACUCCUACGGGAGGCAGCAGUGGGGAAUUUUGGACAAUGGGCGAAAGCCUGAUCCAGCAAUGCCGCGUGUAGGAUGAAGGCCCUCGGGUUGUAAACUACUUUUGUACGGAACGAAAAGACUCUUUCUAAUAAAGAGGGUCCAUGACGGUACCGUAAGAAUAAGCACCGGCUAACUACGUGCCAGCAGCCGCGGUAAUACGUAGGGUGCAAGCGUUAAUCGGAAUUACUGGGCGUAAAGCGUGCGCAGGCGGUUAUGUAAGACAGAGGUGAAAUCCCCGGGCUCAACCUGGGAACGGCCUUUGUGACUGCAUAGCUAGAGUACGGUAGAGGGGGAUGGAAUUCCGCGUGUAGCAGUGAAAUGCGUAGAUAUGCGGAGGAACACCGAUGGCGAAGGCAAUCCCCUGGACCUGUACUGACGCUCAUGCACGAAAGCGUGGGGAGCAACAGGAUAGAUACCUGGUAGUCA
rnacentral:rRNA from 1 species